CGCGGCCUAUCAGUUUGUUGGUGAGGUAAUGGCUCACCAAGGCGAUGACGGGUAGCCGGCCUGAGAGGGCGACCGGCCACACUGGGACUGAGACACGGCCCAGACUCCUACGGGAGGCAGCAGUGGGGAAUAUUGCACAAUGGGCGAAAGCCUGAUGCAGCGACGCCGCGUGGGGGAUGACGGCCUUCGGGUUGUAAACCCCUUUCAGCAGGGAAGAAGCGAAAGUGACGGUACCUGCAGAAGAAGCGCCGGCUAACUACGUGCCAGCAGCCGCGGUAAUACGUAGGGCGCAAGCGUUGUCCGGAAUUAUUGGGCGUAAAGAGCUUGUAGGCGGUUUGUCGCGUCUGCAGUGAAAACUCGAGGCUCAACCUCGGGCGUGCGGUGGGUACGGGCAGACUAGAGUGUGGUAGGGGAGACUGGACUCCUGGUGUAGCGGUGAAAUGCGCAGAUAUCAGGAAGGAACACCGAGUGGCGAAGGCAGGUCUCU
rnacentral:rRNA from 1 species